rnacentral:lncRNA from 1 species
AAAUAUCUAACUAAUAUUAGGUAAUUAUAAAAUGGUACUAAAGUUUUAAUUGAUAAAUCAACCUCCAUUCAAACAAAACCAAACACAUACUAAAAGGAAGAGAAUUAAAAGGAUUACCAAAAACAAGUGAGCCUUGAAGGCCUCAAAAGCCCACUAGGGUGCACAGUUGAAAGAAGAAAGAAAUGGGCCGAAACCCGGGAAGCCCCCAUGGGCACCAACCAACUCGGGUUAUUUUGUGACCCCAAAUCGGGUCCGACCAGACCCCCUCAAUCCACCAUGAAGCAUGAAAGGGACAAAGACCCUCCAGCUUCAACGGAUAUCCAGGAAAUAAAUGUGAGUGAAGGACAAUCGAAACGUUAGCUGGCUUUGGGCAGUGAGACAAAGCUUCAACAUUAAUGGCUUUUAAAGCAAAAUAAUGCAGACUUAAAGAAGAGACAAAUUCGAGGCGUGAAAACCUUUACCUCUCCCUCUCUGCAAAAUACUUAUUGCCUCUCUUCGAAACCACUCACAGAAAACCCAAGUUCCCAAACCUCAGUCCAACAUAAAACCGAUUUUGUCAAUAGGAAAACAAAAUCACAUUCAAUAAUGUAAAUUAUAAACUACCAUGAAGCCCUAUCAUAAACGGAACUUUACAUACGUCGGAGGAACAUCAACGAAGUACAAGAACGGGUCAUCAAUUCGCAGAGAUACAAAUCAAUUCAAGAACAAGACAAGUC